UACAGAGACUGCAAGCGUUAUUCGGAUUCACUGGGCGUAAAGGGUGCGCAGGCGGUCGGGUGUGUCAGAUGUGAAAUCCCGAGGCUCAACCUCGGAACUGCGUCUGAAACUACUCGACUAGAGUACUGGAGAGGGUAACGGAAUUCACGGUGUAGCAGUGAAAUGCGUAGAUAUCGUGAGGAACACCAGAGGCGAAGGCGGUUACCUGGACAGUUACUGACGCUCAGGCAUGAAAGCAUGGGGAGCAAAAGGG
rnacentral:rRNA from 1 species